GUUAAAUACGCCUCCAGUGACUGACUUCCUGACAGCCACUAGAGGCACUUCCACUGUGAGAACUACUAAAACUCGGUUCUCACAGUCAAACUCGGUUCUCACAGUCAAACCCAGUUCUCAAAGAUAGCCUCCAUUUCACUGGAUAAAUGCAAUGCUGACAUACAUUGGGUUGAACGAAAAAGAGGAGUCGGCGUGAAAUCAU